rnacentral:rRNA from 1 species
GACGUAGGGCGCGAGCGUUGUCCGGAUUUAUUGGGCGUAAAGAGCUCGUAGGCGGCUCGUUGCGUCGGCUGUGAAAACCCGCAGCUCAACUGUGGGCUUGCAGCUGAUACGGGCGGGCGUGGGAUUGGUAGGGGAGACUGGAAUUCCUGGUGUAGCGGUGAAAUGACGCAGAUAUCAGGAGGAACACCGGUGGCGAAGGCGGGUCUCUGGGCCGAUAUUGGCGCUGGAGGAGCGAAAGCGUGGGGAGCGAACAGG